rnacentral:rRNA from 1 species
CACGUAGGGGACGAGCGUUGUCCGGAAUCAUUGGGCGUAAAGAGCGUGUAGGCGGCCAGAUAAGUCCGCUGUGAAAACUCGAGGCUCAACUUCGAGCUGUCGGUGGAAACUAUUUGGCUAGAGUCCGGAAGAGGAGAGUGGAAUUCCUGGUGUAGCGGUGAAAUGCGCAGAUAUCAGGAAGAACACCCGUGGCGAAGGCGGCUCUCUGGUACGGAACUGACGCUGAGACGCGAAAGCGUGGGGAGCGAACAGG